rnacentral:rRNA from 1 species
UUGGAGGGCAAGUCUGGUGCCAGCAGCCGCGGUAAUUCCAGCUCCAAUAGCGUAUAUUAAAGUUGUUGCAGUUAAAAAGCUUGUAGUUGAACUUCGGGGUUUACCCAUUGGUCAGGCUUUAUUGUCUGCACUGGUGAGAUGAAUCUCUACCUUCUGAGGAACUUUCAUGCCAUUUAUUUGGUGUGAUGGGAAACCAGGACUGUUACUUUGAAAAAAUUAGAGUGUUUAAAGCAGGCUAACGUCUGAAUACAUUAGCAUGGAAUAAUGAAAUAGGACGGACUGAUUCUAUUUCGUUGGUUUCUAGGAUCACCGUAAUGAUUAAUAGGGAUAGUUGGGGGCAUUAGUAUUCAAUUGUCAGAGGUGAAAUUCUUGGAUUUAUUGAAGACUAACUACUGCGAAAGCAUUUGCCAAGGAUGUUUUCAUUAAUCAAGAACGAAAGUUAGGGGAUCGAAGACGAUCAGAUACCGUCGUAGUCUUAACCAUAAACUAUGCCGACUAGGGAUCGGAUGAUGUUAAUUUUUUAAUGACUCAUUCGGCGCCUUACGGGAAACCAAAGUGUUUGGGUUC